GACAGAGGGUGCAAACGUUGUUCGGAAUUACUGGGCAUAAAGCGCACGUAGGUGGUCCGCUAAGUCGCGUGUGAAAUCCCCCGGCUCAACCGGGGAAAUGCGCGUGAUACUGGCGGGCUUGAGAUCGGGAGGGGUGAAUGGAACUCCAGGUGGAGCGGUGAAAUGCGUAGAUAUCUGGAGGAACACCGGUGGCGAAAGCGGUUCACUGGCCCGACACUGACACUGCGAUGCGAAAGCGUGGGGAGCAAACAGG
rnacentral:rRNA from 1 species